rnacentral:pre_miRNA from 1 species
AGCUUUUUGAAUCCGUAUAGAGAUUUUGUCAGACACCAACCCAUUAGGACUGAUCAGACUUCCGAGAUAAGCGAAGUU